GAUGAACGCUGGCGGCGUGCCUAAUACAUGCAAGUCGAACGAGGUGCUUGAGUAGCAAUACGAGAGUAUCCUAGUGGCGAACGGGUGAGUAACGCGUUGGUGACCUACCCCAAAGUGUGGGAUAACAGUCCGAAAGGAUUGCUAAUACCGCAUGUAGUCUUCGGGUUUAGAAACCGAUGACUAAAGGAGCAAUUCGCUUUGGGAGGGACCUGCGUCCCAUCAGCUAGUUGGUGAGGUAACGGCUCACCAAGGCUACGACGGGUAGGGGACCUGAGAGGGUGACCCCCACAAU
rnacentral:rRNA from 1 species